rnacentral:rRNA from 1 species
ACUCCUACGGGAGGCAGCAGUAGGGAAUCUUCCACAAUGGGCGCAAGCCUGAUGGAGCAACACCGCGUGAGUGAAGAAGGGUUUCGGCUCGUAAAGCUCUGUUGUUAAAGAAGAACACGUAUGAGAGUAACUGUUCAUACGUUGACGGUAUUUAACCAGAAAGUCACGGCUAACUACGUGCCAGCAGCCGCGGUAAUACGUAGGUGGCAAGCGUUAUCCGGAUUUAUUGGGCGUAAAGAGAGUGCAGGCGGUUUUCUAAGUCUGAUGUGAAAGCCUUCGGCUUAACCGGAGAAGUGCAUCGGAAACUGGAUAACUUGAGUGCAGAAGAGGGUAGUGGAACUCCAUGUGUAGCGGUGGAAUGCGUAGAUAUAUGGAAGAACACCAGUGGCGAAGGCGGCUACCUGGUCUGCAACUGACGCUGAGACUCGAAAGCAUGGGUAGCGAACAGGAUUAGAUACCCUGGUGGAAAGCC